CGAGCUCUGUCCCUGCAG
rnacentral:miRNA from 1 species